ACUAAAAAGACAAUCCGUAUGGAAGAGGAACUAAAACGAUUAAUAAUCUGGGAGCAGCCUUCUACAAAUGACCUUCUCACAAUGUUUAUCCGAGUGCCAAGGAACAGAUUGAAAUAUUUCCUAUAUGUAUUUUACACCUGGAUCACUUUGAUUGUGAUUUCGACUUCUGAAACCAUGGCAACUGUCAUUAACCUGACAUUGGAUUGCUCAAGUACCGCCACGAUUACAUCUCUAGAAUAUCCUUCUCUUUACCCAAAUGAUAUUUCCCAGGAAUGGUACAUCAACGCGACUUUGGAUAAAAGGAUCAUUGUCACGUUUCAUUACUUUAGUGUGGAGUCACCAAAGGAUUACGUGGAUGUAAUAGACGCUGUAGAUGUUCUAACUGUUAAACGUUACACAGGCCAGGAUAUUCAAUUCCCUCCUUAUUUGACGUUAGGACAUACCCUUCAUAUUGAAUUCGGUACAUCUAAACGGGGAAGAAGGGAAGGAUUCAAUAUUUCAGUCUCCUGUUACGAACCACUAGGUAAUUAUAAAUUUCAACCAAAAAUCAUAGGAUAUCCAUGGCGAACCUGGCUGAUUCCGUUAUCAGUGGCGUAAAUAUAGGGGGAGACACGGGGGGCAAAUGCCCCGCCUCCAAUCGGCUGGCAAAAAAAAACAAGGGAAAAGGGGAAAAAGAGGGAGAAAGAAAUGUAGUGGGGGAAGAAGAAAUUAUUGUAUGUUAUAUGACAGCCCAUUUUGCAAUGACGUCAUCAACCGUGCAAUUUUGGAUCCAUACGAUUUUGCCCAUUGCACGCGCGCACCGAGACUGCAUUUAUCUUUUUGUUCUUUUCUUUUUUCUCUUCCCCUUUUGUUUUUCCUUCUCUCUUUUCUUCUUUUUCCUUUUUGUCUCUCCCCCUUCUCUCACCAAUCGAUUUAGAGACACAUCAUUCCUUUCACUGACCGUUACUACGUCUCUAAAGUAAUUUCAUGUAGUAUUUAUUCCAUUACUCUGUAAA